ensembl:lncRNA
CAUUCUGCCUUUUCUAUUUUACCCAGAGAUCAAAUGUGGUAUCUUGCAACACUGUCACAGAGCCACAUGGAUAGGUGUUCCUCCCGACAGCUGCUCCUGUUGGAGGUAGCAGCUCCCAUGUAGCUGCUUCUGCACGUGGAAACUGCAGUGACAGACAACAAAACCAGGAUGACUUUUAGGCCCAGUAUUUUUAUUGCUGGGCUGGCAGCUGUAACUGCUCCCAGAGUCUGGCUUGCAGGAGAUGUCCUGGAAGCUCUUUGUGCAAUGCACGGAAUAACACAAGCGAGCAAGGCAAAACCAAAAGCAGGAUGCAGCAGUACUGAUGCCACUGAAAGCUUACACAGAGGUGAGAGUCAUUACGGCUUGUGGUCAAAGUUGUUUAUUUUUUUCUUGUCACAGGAUGUCAGACAAUACGAGGCCUUUUAGCAGCAUUUCAGACUUUUUGCUUUCCUUUCGAGUCAACAGAAACUCAGCUGCCUGAAGGUGGGUGAGGCCAAACAGCAGCACAAACCUUCCUCUGGAGGAAGGGACCCGAUCCCACUAACCUGCUCCACUGAGGUGCUGUGCAGCUUCAAUGCCAAGACACUGAUUUGAUAACUGUGGUUUCUUCUUACUGACCUGGCUGGGAAAAGCUGCCUUGUUGCUCAACAGCACUUUGUCUUCAUGAUUUAUAUGUUGCUUGACACAGCUAAGCAUGAUGCUGCAGUGUGAGAACUGCUUGCUGGCCGGCCGGCUGCAUGAGCUUCUCCACAGAAAGGUCUGUGCUGCGAACUGCUUUACUACCAACUGGGGCUUCUGCAAGAAAAGAAUGCAUCAGAAACACAAGAAUGUGUACGUUUGUUGUCAUGUUCCAUUCAAAAUAUGUAAAAGGAAAAAAAACUGUAAUUAACGUUGCAUUUAAGCCUGCUUGACUGUACUAAGCAUGACCUACAAGCCCAAGGAAUGCUACUGAGAUUUCCCUGAAAAAUGUUGAAACCGUUUAUUUGCCUGCUGAAUGGACUGAUUUUGAGAUAUGAGCAUGCUUUCCAUCGAAGAACAUCCUGAAAUUAAUUUCAGUUAAUGCCAUUUAUAUUACUCACUCUUCCCUGUUGAACUGGGCGUCCUGGAUUUCAACAUAUGCUGCUGUGCUGUGUAUUCCAGCUGUGACUGCAGCAGUGCUAAAUGUGUCUGCUUGAUGGAGAGCAUUAGCAGAACUCGGAUGUAGUCCAUCUAUUAGAUGGUUCUCCAGGAGGUGACAUUUCUGCACAGCUCAUCAGUGACAUCCCCUAUUCCCUCUCUUGGCCACAUUUGCAAGCUUCCAAACGUGUUUGUGAAUGUGACCAAAUUCUGGCCCUCGAGAUCAAAGGUCUGUCCACAUCUCUCUCUGGCACUACAGAUCUGGGAUGCUGCAAGCCAGUAUUCAAGAAUCCUGUCAAACUUGAGCAUAUCUGUGAUUUAUAAUGUAGAAAACCAUGUAGACUCUCAUCAUACACUUAGUACUCAACAGUCUACAGAAGCAGAACCUACCAAGAAAGCAAAUGUCAAAAAAGCAGCGUGAGCAAAGUUAAGAAUCUUCCACGUAAGGGGAUAUGUUUCUGGCUUGGAGCCAACCGGGGAGAAGAAGAAAUUCCUAAAUAUAGGAGCCCGGAAGGUGUGAAAGAACUGUUGGAUGCUGAAGUAUGUCAGGGACAAGAUUGGUGAUGAGUAAGAGCUUCCGCUGCUGGAAGCGGAGCGUGCUGGCAGGUAGCAGACUCCGUGAUCUUCUGAACAAGGAACAAAUCCUUGCUGAUCCUCCCCUAGUUGUGACAGUAAGUAUAAAUAUAUGAAAUCACCGAAAGAGGGAGUGAUGCUUGAGCACUCGUUUAAGAGUUCUGGCAACCUGACAGCAGUAAGCUCCACUUCCAAGUGAUGUAGAAGCAAUUUUCACUCUUGUGAAAACUCCCAUUUCUGAAAGUAGAUUGCCAAAAUAACUGAUGUUGAUCAUAUGGGACUGUGUGUCAUGCAUCGCAUAUAUCCGCUUAUUUGCUCUUUUUUGAUUUUGGUUUUGUUUAUCCAAAAAUAAUGGUAUCCUAUUGACAAAGGAUUCUUAUUUUUUUGUCAUAAGCACACAGCAAUACAGUGUUUUUUUCACACAGUACAGAGCCAUCCAUGUGUUUCUGUGUCAAGAAAUGCAGCGAUAACUUCUGCUCUGUCUGCUUACAGGAAUAGCUACUGCUUGAUGCCAGUCUGUAUUAUCUGCACUUCCCUCUGUCACUGAGAUGGGCUGGCUCAGCAGAACAAGUAUGAGCACAUAAGAGUGACAUUUUGUGUUUCUGAGGUAGUAAUAUCUUAAUUACUCUUAAAUCGUGAGCUUUUUGAGCAUUUUAUAUAUUGCAUAUACAUAUACAUUACCUAUUAUAUAUAAUAGAAGGGAAAGAUGAUUACAAGCACAAGAGAAGACACAUCACCUAAGAGUGCUGUAAGAAAAGAUCAGUGUGGAGGUAGAAACUCCUGUGAAGCUUACAGCAGGAAAGACCUGCCAUGGCCAAAUGCACAAGUUUGUUUCCCCUUAACAACUGUCAAUGGUUUUAAGAUUUUGAGAUGUAAUCAGUUACAGAGAUAACAAUCUCAAGGUAAAACAGAUACAGCUGCUGCCGUGGAACUAUCCUUUCAUUUCUUCCCCGUAUUCAGAGCAUUUUCAACAUUAAUUUUCACAUACACUUUAUGUCACAUAAUUUCUCUCUCAACAUUUAUUUAUUUGUACGUGAUUUUUAUGCUUACAGCUUACAAGCUAUCUGCCACAAAAGCUUUAAGAAUGCAGAAUGGAUUUCUCUACGGUCAUGAUCCGAAGGGAAUUUUAUCAGGGAGUUUCUGGGUUUGUUAUGGAGCAAAAGAAUGUAUUUGUUCUUCUGUUGUACUGCACUUCUGCACUGAGAAUGAAGAGACUCAGUCCUGCUAAUAGACUGAGAAAAGAGAUUAAGCAUACAAGCUAAGGAUUCUGCAUAUUGAAAUACAGUAAAUCUGAAAAAUACUGGAAGACAUUGGUGGUUUGCUGGAGGUCACCUGGACAGGUACCUGGCAAGGCUAUCUCCCUGUGCCUCAGCUGCUUCACCUGCAAAGUGGGGAUAAUGACAUUCAGUCGCUUUUUAAAACCAUUUUAAGAUGCUCCACUUCCGUGUUCUGUAUCAAAGGGAAAUACUUCACUUUCAUAUACACUUUUGCGUAACUGAUGACAAAGUCCUUACAUUCUCUGCUUUAAGGUAGCUUAACCUUAAUUCAGUGUACUAAGGCUGGAAUGGGUAUAAACAACAAACACAGUAAGAGCAAAGACUGUUUUAGAAAUGGGAAUAUCAUCAUUCUUUUCCUCGUUUCUUUCAAUCAUAAUAAGAAUCUGCCUAAAACAGGCAGACCGCUUAAAUCCUAUCAAAUCUUCACAGAUUUUAUCUCUAGAUGAGAUUGGCUGACAAUUAAAAAGUACGCACUCAAAUGAUUUGAGGAAAAUCUUUCUAAAGCCAUGGACAGUUUCACUCCUCAGAUGCUUUAAAAAAAAAACAAAAGCAAAACUUAAUUUAAAAACAAAGAACGAGAGAAUACGGAUAUUAGUUUUGGCCUCAGAAAAUCCUUUAAUCCAUCAGACUUCUGCAUAACACUGUAAGUAUGCAAGUAAUCAGAUGAUUGUUUUCAUCCCUGGCCAAAUACUGCAAUCACAGCGAUGUGCAUGUAAGAACUGCUAUAUUUUUAGAGUAAUUACUUAUAGAGAGGUAGCAGUACCUUUAAUGUAACGUGUCAUUUUCAUUCUUAGAUGAAAACGGGGAGGAUGGGACAGUCAGGUUUCAAACGAAAAUAAAGUUUAGUAGAUAAUAUUCAAUUUUUAAGCACAACAGUAAUUUUUUCAGAGACCUCUGAAAGCAUUUGAUGAGGUUUUGUUGAAUGUUGUUUCACCUCAGACUGCUGUUUCUCCUUCACCGGCUUCAGGAGCUGGAAUGAAAAAGAACAUCAUUAUUGCGUUUGCUCUCAAUGCCAUAUUAAAUCUCAAUCCUCUCGUCCCCCAGUCUGCAUGUACAGCCAGGAUGGCCCCAGCCCAGGUACAGAAUGCAGCGCUUGCUCUUGUUAAACUUCAUGUGGUUGAUUAUUGCCAGCCCUUCAAUUUGUUGAGAUCUCUGUGCAAGGCAGAUAUCCAAUACCCUACAGUGGUACAGCCAAUUGAGUAUCACAAAGAAAAUCAUAUGAAAGAGACAGUAAUCAAGACCGAAAUAAAUGCAUAUGCAUCUCUGCUCUGUAUUUCAAAUAUGUUUUGAAAACACGCUACAUUAAGAAACCCAAACACAUUUCAAUUCAAGUAAUGUUGCUUUUACAACCAUCGAGAGAAAAUGAGAUGUGGUAGAACUCUGCCACUUCCCAAGCAGCACAAUCACACAGCCUUAGUCUUUUUCUGGCUUCAGUAGUGCUUUCCAUUUCUAUUGAUCUCUGUGAAAUGUGGUCUCUACAAACGGAAAAGGCGCAUUUCCCAGACCAGUGGUGCUGCAGAGUAGCUGGGAUCUAUUAAAUGAAUGGGAAUAUUAAAAUGGAAUGGAAGAAAAGGACCAUCCUUACAAGUGCACAAUAGAUGGUUUAACCAUCAUAAUUAAGUAAAAUGUGAAGUCCAGUCAUAACACACUACAGACGUGAGAAAUGAGAGCUAUCAAGGAGAGUUUCUGUUCUCUGAAAACAACUCCUUGAUAUGUGAAGGAAAGGAUGGAAGGAGGAGCACAGAUGGCACAUUCUUAGCAAAACCCUUUCUCAAGAACAUCCCUACUGAUGUAGCUAGUAACAGUUAAACUGGUUUAUACCCGAAGAAUACAGAGCUGUUCAAUCAUUUGGAUCAGCUUAGUACACUCGACCUUAUGAAUCCUACUUACACCACAAUUGCCUAAAAUUGAAGAAAACAUCUCCUCAGAGGCAAAAAGUGGAAAGAUCUAAGUUUUCUUAGUGCCAUGCAAUGGGUAUGGCAGUCACAAAGGAACUGACACGUGGCAUGGUACAAAAUGAUACACGAUCUUUAAAGAGUAUUUUAUAAAGGCUGUUCUUGGGAGGGAAGAUGCCACUUCUAAGUUGAACAUGAGAAGCCAUUACUGACGAAUGUGGCAUUUGCACCAUGAUAGUUCAGAACAAUGGGAAAUCUGUCACUUGGAAUGUUUGCACAAUUCUAUGCACUAAUACUGCUUUGAAAGGUUUGGCAACAGUGACAGGCAAAAAAAGAAGGAAAGUUAAUGUAAACCUAUCAACAGAAGGAUUUGUUACUUCAAAUUAACAACUGGAUGAAGCUCUGACCGUAACAUUAUAUUGGGAACAAUUUCUCUUUUUGAAGUGCAAUGAAGUACGAAUUAUCAGUAUCUUUCUACCUAUCCCAGCAGCUCACCUGCUGCAGAAAGAGUUGGUUGUUGGCAAUCCUCAUCAAGCAUAACUAACAAAGUCAAUUGACACAACAAGUUCUACGGCUGGCAUUAUUUGGAGAAUGUUUUGUUGGCCCCUAGUGCCUGAGGAUGUAUGAAGGCAUACUCUUUUUGAGCACAUGUAGACUCACAGUCCCUUCAUGCUGGUGUUCACCUACAGACCUAUGACAUUGGCACCUAACCCCAACAGGGAUACGCCGUUCAGCUGACAAAGAAGCUACUCAUGGACUCUAAGCCUCAGCUUUACCUGUUAGACAUCAUUAGAUAUAUAACCACGUGAUACCGACUUUUCCCCUCCUGUUUAAUGCAUAGGAAAGCACAGCACAUAUGCACUGGAUUUCAUGAACAAAGGCUGUUUGUGCAUUCUAUACCCUGACAUGCAGCAAGGCUGUCAUCCCAUCACCAAGACACUCCUGUGUCCCCCACACUUGGACUAUUGGUAGAGAGUGGCGAGGUGGCUGCAGGACACCAGGAUCGCUCACGUGGCUUGUAGGUUGUCACCUGUCCAUAUCUGAGAAGCAAGGAGCAAGCCACGAACUUCCAUCUUCAUCAUCUCUUAGGGGCAGAACAUGCAUCUGUGUACUGGAGGAAUAAAUAUGGAAAAAGCUUUGUAAGUGAUAUUUAUCACGGUCCUGGACUUGUAUUAUUAUUGUUUUUUAAUCUAAAAGCACUGCCCUUUUGCUAAUGUGCCAAAUGAGCUGCUGACCAGCAAGCCGUGCGUUGCCUUAAGCAAACCAACACAUAACACGUGCAGAACUUUACAGCUGCGUCUGGUUGGUAAACUGUGAUGAUAAAAGAAGCAGGUUGGAGAUUAGGAAAAAGAUAUUUUCAGAAGGAAUGGUGAUGCCCUGCAAUGGGCUGCCCAGGGAGGCGGUGGGAUCACCGGCCCUGGACGCGUUCAGGACAUGUGGAUGUGGCACUGAGGGACACGGUCAGUGGGGACGGGUUGGUGGCUGGACUAGAGGAUCUCGGUGUCUUCUCCAACCCUAAUGAUCCUGUGAUUCCGUACAGCACGAUGUGGAUGUCUGCAGUGCCAGGAGCUGCGAUUUCUCUGGUAACAUAUUCCACCCGCCCCUGCACUUUCCAUACACAAACAGAUACCCUCCAAACUAGGAGCACAGCUUGAGCCCCA